AGUGAACGCUGGCGGUAGGCCUAACACAUGCAAGUCGAACGGCAGCACAGUAAGAGCUUGCUCUUACGGGUGGCGAGUGGCGGACGGGUGAGGAAUACAUCGGAAUCUACUUUUUCGGGGGGGAUAACGUAGGGAAACUUACGCUAAUACCGCAUACGACCUACGGGUGAAAGCAGGGGAUCUUCGGACCUUGCGCGAUUGAAUGAGCCGAUGUCGGAUUAGCUAGUGGGCGGGGUAAAGGCCCACCAAGGCGACGAUCCGUAGCUGGUCUGGGAGGCUGAUCACCCACCCUGGAACUUAGCCACGGUCCAGGCUCCUACGGGAGGCCGCAGUGUGCUAUAUUGGACAGUGGGCGCAAGCCUUAUCCAGUCAUACCGCGUGUGUGAAGACGGCCUUCGGGUUGUAAAGCCCUUUUGUUGGGAGAGAAAAGCAGCAGGUUAAUACCCCGCUGUUCUGACGGUACCCAAAGAAUAAGCACCGGCUAACUUCGUG
rnacentral:rRNA from 1 species